rnacentral:rRNA from 1 species
CACGUAGGCACCAAGCGUUGUCCGGAUUUAUUGGGCGUAAAGAGCUCGUAGGCGGUUCGGUAAGUCGGGUGUGAAAACUUUGGGCUCAACCCAAAGCCUGCACUCGAUACUGCUGUGACUUGAGUCCGGUAGGGGAGUGGGGAAUUCCUGGUGUAGCGGUGGAAUGCGCAGAUAUCAGGAGGAACACCGGUGGCGAAGGCGGUUCUCUGGGAAUGUCCUGACGCUGAGGAGCGAAAGUGUGGGGAGCGAACAGG